GUAUGGGUCACCGCAAGGUUUCUGGGCAUUUGCCCCAGACAAUACAUGCGUGGCCCGCCCCGCGGUCCACGAUCGGCUACGCCGAAAGCAUCAACACGCCGGUAACGAUACCGGC
rnacentral:ncRNA from 1 species